rnacentral:lncRNA from 1 species
UAGUCUGUUGGUUUCUUUCUUUCUGUUUUCCUUUAAACCAUCUUCUUAGUUUCUUUUCGCAAGGGAGUCUCUAUUGGCUUACCAACAACGAGAGAGAGAGAGAGUGAGAGAGAGAGAGAGAGAGGUACCGAAGACAUAAAUAUUUAGUCGAUUAUUUUAACGGGUUAGCAGUAGUAAUGGCCCGCCAAGUACUUUCAUCUCCGUUUGCCCUUAUUUUCCUAGAGGAAGAAGAGCUUUAGUAGAGGGGAUAAAGGUACGAGACGAAGAGAGAGAGAAUCGUCCUAGAGACCGAGGACUUUUCAAAUUGGAUCGAGCACCUGCGUCGGGCACGGGAAUCCAAGGAGUUGCCGCUUCGCGUGAGAAGAAUGCGAAUAGAAAAAGACUUUGGAAAAGUGAAGAAGAUGCACUUUUUAGUUUUUACGACAAUCUUAAGGGUUCGUCGUAGGUCUCUGGGUACGACGACGACGACGACGACUACGACGACAAGAAGGUUCUUCCAACCAACCCUAAAGCUGAUAAAUAGAACGAGUUUCAGCGUUGCAACGUGUUGCUUCGGCUUACUCCGUCUCGUUACAGCGAGGAGGAGGAGGAGGAGGAGGUGGAGGUGGAGGAAGCCUAAGUGCACGAAACUUCGGCCUCGAUCCGCCACCACGGGAAUGCGAAUAGGUAAAAAGCUAAUAAAACUGACAAAGAUUAUUCCUGGCAUAAGAAGAAGAA